CAUCUGAAAUGAAAAAAGAAAAAACAGAAAAAAAGAAAAAAAGAAAAAACAGAAAACAGAAGAAAUCAAAACGCCAUGCAUAUUAUGAAUCAGAUGGUUACUGUAAUAAGUUUGUCAGGAGACCAGGACCAAAGAUCAAAAACAAGAAAAACAAAUAUUUUCAUAGAUAUGUCUUAACAGUCGGAUUGUCAGUACCUGAUACAGAUAGCCUGAUUCAGAUAGAGCAAGAAUUGUGUGGUUAACAAUAAAAAUAGAAGCUGCAUGUCCUUCGGAUAUGGGUAAGUCAUGUGGUGCUACUACCCACUGCACACCAUUCCAAAACCUCUCAUAGAUACACCCACUUUGACUAGUGAUCCAAACAGAAGUCUCAGA